ACAUAUCAAAGAUCCCCAGGACA
rnacentral:piRNA from 1 species